GGGAAAUAACCGUCUCCAAUGCAACCUGAAUAGUAGCGCUAAUAGCUGCAUCGGCCAUUUUUUUUCUUGCUUGGAAUUGAAAUUAGAAGAAAAGAAUCAAUUAAGGUGGUGAUCAGGAUGGAUUUUGGAAUGAGAUAAGAAGGAAUUCUUCAGCUUCAGCAGCUAAAAGCAGAAAUGUUUGGAGAAGAAAAGAAUUUGAAGUGCUUCUAAGGUAAGACUUCUAGAGCUACUGCUAAUUCUAUAGUGCGAGCCUCAAGCAUUGAAAAUUAAACUAAACUGUAGUAAUAAUCCUAUUAGGUAAAGAAACCUGUGUUACAAACAAACAGGGAAUCUUCUUUUUGGACGAGCUACUUUGCUUCUUGGCUGGUUAAGAAUAAAGACAUAAGUGGAUGAUGUUUAUAGCUUUGUGUCUCAAUAACAAACUUGUGAUCUCAAAUUACUUGAACGUGUAUUUUCUGAAAAAAAUCAUCAGAUAUUUGCUUCUAUUGUAAAAUCUUCAGACUUGCUCCUUUUAAACUUUAUAAAACCAAGGAUUCUGUAUCCACUUUCAUGGGGAAUUGAAGUCGCAUUUAAGACCUACAAUCCAAUUUUCUUUCCUUCUUAAAAUUUUUUUCUUUUUUAUCAAUGAAGUCUGGGGAUUAGUAACUUGAAAGAUGCAUUUGCUUCAAUCUUCACAUCAAAAGGACAUCCACAGUUACAUAUCCCUUGUUUUUGUCAAACUGUUUCACUUAUGAAAUUUGAUAAGGGGUAACUUUUGUGGCUCGAGAUAAUUUUAUGGCCAAGAUUAAUUAACCAUAAUGUGACUCUCAUUUGCAUAUUGAUUACAGCACAAAUUCAUGCUUAUUUUGUACAUACAAAUGUAAUUUGCUGCAUUCACACUAACCAGUGAGAUAUUUAUGGGUUACAAGAAAUAAUGAGCCGUCAAUUCGUGUAGAGCAGUGCUUCGUUGCAUAGUUGGAUGCUUUAGGUUCCAAAGGAAUAAAGGUGCUUGGCUUGCUGCUGGGGUCUUCCCCUUUUUCUCAUUAAUGCUUUUCCAAAGUGAAUUUUAUUAGGCAUAGUUGCAUGAGACAAAUUAAGGAAAAUAUUAACCACAAUGUGACCUUUAUUUACAUAUUGAUGACAGCACAAAGUCGUGCUUAAAUUGUACAUUUGUUGCAUUGAAGGUGUACAAUCAGCAUAAUCAGUGAGAUAGUUCACGUAAGAUGCAUGUUUACUUCUAAUAUUAACAAAAAAUAACAAGAAUCGUGUGAUGGACUAUAAAAGCCCUCAAUCCGUGUUCAGAAGCGCAGGUGAUUUGCUUUUGCCAUCAAAGUUGCUUUGCAUUUUCGCCUGAAUUUUCUUAAUCAGUGUUGUUGAUGGGGCCUUCAUCUUUACUGAUUGAAUGCUGGAACCCUUUCAUCGGAAUAUAUCUGAAUGAAUUGUUGGAAAGAGGGACAAUAAACUAUGACCACAAUCAAAUUGGAAAAAGACUAAAUGGGAAUUCACCUCAUUUGUUAGUCCGUUGGAGGUACCGCUUCAAAAGAAAGAACAGAGAGAGAUAGGAAUGAAGGAUCAUAAGCAGAGUAGCUACACAUUGAGUGAUAAGCUUCAACUCCAACUCGAGAAAUAUUCAUCUGCCACCCUAGAAAGUAUGUACUUUUGGGAUCAUAUCAGAAGCAGCAGCCCAAUUAGAUCCAUGUAAUAUUGUAAACUAAACAGAAGGAAGGGGUCAGUACAAACAAAAAAGAAACAUCAUCCUGCUUAAACGAUAAAGCUUUUCAAUGCCUUGGUUCAAUCUUUUAGUAAAUUGUCUCACCAAUGUACCAACACCAUUUAGACAUUGGCGUUGAUUUGGUAUGGUGGAGAAAGGAACAAAAAUAUGCUACUAUGCUGCAGCCACUGAUUAAGCACUGCGUAGUUAACAAAGUACCAUCUGAUUACGAGUCACCAGUCGUAACCUUUCAACAGUGAUUUCACAGCCUUGGUGAUAAACUAAGAAUUGUUCAAACCAACAAUCAUAUAUUCUACAACGAUAAAUAUACUCAGUAUUGAACUUCAAUGCACAUGAUCGAGUUCAUAAUGAGAGUAAUAUAUUGAACAUUUUAGUCCACAACCAAAGACGUACAAACGUGAAUGAUGUACGCGAGGUCGAAUGCGAAACUUUACAAGUGAUGCGGAUGCCAACACCCCCAACCUCGUGAGCAACUCUAAUCAAAUUCAAGCUGAUCAAGUCGAAUUUGAAUUCUCACAUAUUCAGCUCGUUAAUUCACGAGUCAGUUUGAUUACACACAUACAUCUAUAUACAUAUAUAUAGAUUAAUAAUAACAUUACAUAUAUGUUUCUAAUAUUUUAUUAUUUGUUAAAAAUUAUUAUUUUUUUAUUUUUAAAUAAAAUAAAUUAUAUAUAUAUAUAUAUAUGUUUUUUAAACUCGAGCACAAACUUUACAUUUUAAGUUUGUCGAGUUCAAGUUUUAUAACACUAAGUUGAGACCCGACUCAAUUAGACCAAAACUUGACUCGACUCGACUUAACUCGUUUGCACCCCUAAUCCAACAGCAUUUAGUUCACGGUGCUCGUUUUAGGUUCAUUCAGAAGCCAGAAUUAGUUCUCCUUGUCCACUCAUCCUAUCAUGAAACAGUGAUAACUUCAGAAUAAACUUCGGUUGCUGUAACCAAUUAAGAUAAGGAAAAUUUGCCAAAUUGGUCCAUAAUAUUUACCAAAAACACUUUUUUAGUCCUUAACAUAUAAAAUCAGCCAAAAGGAUCCUUCACAUUUAAAUUAUGAGCCAAUUUGGUCCUAUUGCUCAUUUUUGCUCAUUUCUCCGGCUAAAAAUAGCACGCCCCCCUCACGUGGUCAUAUUUUUAAGGGCAAAAUCGGAAAACACAUUUCAUUACCGGUCGAAAGAAGCCAUCUUUCCUUCAUCUAGUCACCUCACUAACCCAUGAAAUUGAAGAGGGAAAAUACAGUAGCAAGAAAUUGGAAAGAAGAAGCUGACCUUUGAAGAGUAAAAUGGAUCCAAACGAGUGAUGUCUUUGUGGAAAGGAACCCAUCAUUGUGACUUCUUGGAAACCUGCAAUCAGAUACUUACAAAAUAGUUGUAAUACUUGGGGAGGGGGGGUAAGGGUGAGGCAUCUGAUUUUUUGUUGGUUGGGGGAAGGGGAAGAAGAGAUAGAGAGAGGUAGUUACUCUUGGCGCCGGAGGGAUUUGAGGAUGGAAGCUUUGGAAGACUCGAUCUCCCAUCCAUGUAUCCGAAGUCCAACCCGCUCGUCCGGCAGCAACUCCGCUCCGGCUUCUUUCAAUUCUUUCUGCUCUGCCUCCCACUCCAUGCCGCCUACCUCACAAAACAAGCACCGUCACGAUUUAUGUCCAGUCCUGUUCCAGAUUCUGCAACCCCCCUUCUACUAGGCUGGCGACUGGAGCUGGUUUUCUACUUCCACAGGGAUGGUUUCCGAACGGCGAUGGAUUCCAGCUACCGCUUUUUGUGAAAGGUCAGAAUCGUCAUUGCAUCUUGUUUGUGUGUGUGUGUGUGUGUGUGUGUGUACAUGCCCUCUUAAUUUUCUUCACGAUUUUCUGGCCAAACCUUCAAUCUUUUCUCAAUCACACCCUACAGAUUUGUCGUCAUCAUCAUCGGCAGUACAUUUCCAAGUUAUGCUUGUUAAUUUGGGGAUUCAAUUAGGGUUUCUUCAAAUUGUAAUUUGAGGGCCAAAGGUGAAAUGUGUAUUUUGGUGGUGGUCCCCUAUCCUUUUACCUUCAACCGGUAAUGAAAUGUGUUUUUCGAUUUUGCCCUUAAAAAUAUGACCACGUGAGGGGGGCGUGCUAUUUUUAGCCGGAGAAAUGAGCAAAAACGAGCAAUAGGACCAAAUUGGCUCAUAAUUUAAAUGUGAAUGAUCAUUUUGGCUGAUUUUAUAUGUUAAGGACUAAAAAAGUGUUUUUGGUAAAUGUUAGGGACCAAUUUGGUAAAUUACCCUUAAGAUAAAGUACACAUCAUUCAGGGAGAUUCUUUCUACUACAGCUCAGCCAAAAGCGAACAUGUCAGCAGUUUCCAAAUACAAAGAGUUAUAAAACAACGUUCGUUCUACGCUGAUUACCGAAGAUUUGUGUUAAGCCAGAAAAAGAAUCAACAAUAGUGGCAAAACUUUAAAUAAUCAAUCCACCAAAAACAAAGAACCAAUUCAACUUCAUGAGUUCGGCAACAUUUACAUUAAAGAAUUCAUCACUAUACACAUUCCAAAUCAUGCUUUUAGGACAGCUCCUUCUCUGAUUUUCCAGCUCUUUCUAGGACAUUCCUUCUGUUAUUUUGUCACAAACCCUGCAAUAAUAAAUUUUUUUAUAGCUCACUAAAGAUAACCAAUGAUGAAUGUAGGAUUUUGGUUUGGAGAAGAGGGGGGCGAAAGAUCAAACAACAAGUGACCAAAAAAAAAUCAAAACAAAUAAUGCACAUUAACUUGAAAUCAAAAAUUUAAAACCAAAGUUUAAUAGACGAUAACUAACAACAAAAUAUUUUUAAUAGUAAAAGAUAAAGUCCAAAGCAAAAUAUGAAAAUUAACUCACAAACCAGAUAAAUAUUAACUAAAUCCAAUAAAAAAAAUUAACCCUUUACAAAUUAACAUAAAACUUCUAAGACAUAAAUUUAGAAUAAGAACAAUUGAUAAAUUAAUAAUUGUCAAAAAAUUUCUAAAUCACAAACCUAAAAUAAGUAUAAGUGUCUAAAAAAUUAAUAAUUAUGAUAUAAAAUACAAAGCAAUUGUAAAGAAAAAAAAUUAGAGUUGCCUUGGAAAAAAACGUUGGAGUUUUAGGAAUGGUGGAUAUUUGAGAUAAGUUAAACGAACUUGGGAAAGGAUCAAUGCAUACUUGGAUGAUUAGAUCAUUGCUUUAAGUGUUGGCUUUUGACUAAUAUUUCAUGUCAAUCAUGUAUAAAUAGAAUUAUAAACAUCGAAAUUCUUUUUUUAAGUUGUCAAUUAUUUAAGGAUGGAUACGCUAAAUACAUUACAGUUGAUAAUGGUAUUUUAGUACAAGAAAAACUAGAGUGGGUAUUUUAAGACAUGUUAUGAAAGAGAAAUUAAAGGAGAUAAACUAACGGAAAAAAAAAUUGUUGAGGGGAAAAAGUGUUAAGUCUUCUAUUUUUUUUUUUUAUCUAAAACACCUCACGAUCUUCAAGUAAGUAUGCACUUCAAUAUAAUUAUCACCUCUUGAUCUUUAACCAAUUCUGUACUUCAAUAUAAUUAAGGGUAAAAAACAAAAAAACCCCCUGUGAUAAGCCUAAUACACAAAAAAACCUCUUAUGAUUUCAAAAUAUACAACACGACACCUCAUGCUUUGAACUGAAUUGUAAAGGUGACGGAAUUCGUUAAAUUUAACGGAAAUGACUUAUUGGAACCUAAAAAAAAAUUUUAUACCUAAUUUUUAUCAAAUAUACCUAUUCUACCCCUUAAUCCUCAAUUCUCUCUAUUUAGAGAAUAAAACAAAUGAUUUUUUUGAGUUGUCUUUUGCUUUAUUAUAUCAGGGCAUUUUGGUCAUUUUGUUCAUUUCCGUUAAGUUUAACGGAUUCCGUCACCUUUACAAUUUAGUUCAAAGCAUGAGGUCGUGUUGUAUAUUUGGAAACCAUGGGAAACUUUUCUGUGUAUUAAGUUUAUCACAGGGGACUUUUUUGUUUUUUACCUUAUAAUUAAUUAUCAGGGAAAGUGAUAUAGCCCGUCUCAUACUGCAUGUCAAGUUUUUGGGAAAUCUUGUGGGCUCCAUACUUCCCAUACCCCACCCCAUGGGGGAUCCAUUGUUGAAGGUAAGGUAAAUUUGCGGUCCAGCAUACGAAAUGAAGUAUGAGGCUAGGUCCGGUAUCCGCUAACCACUAGAUUAUGGUUUUUGGGCCCAUAUAAGUUAUACCAUUUAAACUUUUACUCAUGACGUACUUGUUGUAAAAUUCCUAUUGAAUGGAACCCGAUUAUAGGGAAAAAUUAUUUGUUGAUGGGUUUUGGAAUUUAAUUAUAUGAAAAAAAAAGAAACAGAACCAAAACAUUCCUUUGGAUAGCUUUUAAGAAAUAAACAAAAAUAACAAAAGAAACUUUUUGAAGAGUAAUCUUGUUUGUUAUAUUUUGCAAUAUUAAAAAAAGAUCUCACACUAUCGACUUUUAUUAUAUUCUUAACUCUCGCACAAAAAUCUCACACAUUCUUACUUUCAUUUUGAGUGAGGGUCGAGACGGGAAAAAAUUGAAUUGAAGACACCAAAAAGGAAAAGAAAUGACAAAGAACGGUAGCACACAUCAUCAAGAACAAGGAAAUAUCUUUGUCCCUUGAGCUUUUCUCCAAUAUUUUUAACGAUAACAUUCCUGUCAUCCACUUUAACUUCUUCUCCUGUCAAUUGUACUAAAAUGAGCUUGAACAGCUCCAUUAUCUUAAUUUGUUCUUUAGCCACACAAACCCAAAUUUUUUGGCCAAAGUGCCCAUCUAUUUUUGGAUUAUUGUAGAUUGAUUUCGCCAGAGUUGUUUUUCCCAAACCUCCUGAGCCUGUUAUGGGAAUAACAGAAAGAACCUUUUCAGAUGGCCUCAAUAACAUGUCCACAAUCUUUGAUUCAUCGUCGACUCUUCCUACAACAUUUGGAACGAGAAUAGAGUCGGUUUGUCUGCUUGUUGUGGCACCAGUAGCAGCAGGGAGUGCGGCUUCAAUUUGGAACCGGAAGACCAGUCCCACAUCAUUUGCUUGCCGAUUGAUCCUUUCUAGGUUCAUGUUGAUGUCCCUGAUCUUUGAAGCCAACCUUGAACGAGAACCAAUUGUAUUAAAGUACGAGAAGAAGAAGCAUACCUUUUUCUUGAGUUGAUUUCUGUACUUCACCUCCCGACGAAGAUUUUCAUAGUUGAGCUCGUCCAGCACAUCCUCCGCUUUAAAAAGCUCUCCUUCAAGCUGCUCGAGCCAAUUUUUCACCCCGGCAAUAUGCAUUUUCCUGUCCGCAUCAGCCAGGAUACCUCGGAUGGUUUCUGCAGUGUGGCGUAGUCUCUCCAACUCCUCUCCGAAUCCAAGAACCAAACUAACACGAUCAGCGGCAAGGGAAAUAACCGUCUCCAAUGCAACCUGAAUAGUAGCGCUAAUAGCUGCAUCGGCCAUUUUUUUUCUUGCUUGGAAUUGAAAUUAGAAGAAAAGAAUCAAUUAAGGUGGUGAUCAGGAUGGAUUUUGGAAUGAGAUAAGAAGGAAUUCUUCAGCUUCAGCAGCUAAAAGCAGAAAUGUUUGGAGAAGAAAAGAAUUUGAAGUGCUUCUAAGGUAAGACUUCUAGAGCUACUGCUAAUUCUAUAGUGCGAGC
rnacentral:lncRNA from 1 species